AAUUUUUUUUUUUUUUUUUGCAUUCAUAUGCCUAUUAGAUUUUAAAAUAAAUAAAAAUAUGACCAAAUAAGCAAUAAUAAACUAAACUUCACAUAUAUAGCCAUGACCUCAAACUUUGUUAUCCUGCAUAUAUAUGGCCAGCUACUGGGAGCAUGGGUCAAUAUUGUUCCAUUUUUUUUUCCCUUUCGAUGUUUUUCUUUCCUUCAGUUUUUGCACCUGAUUUCUAAUUUCAGUAAUUUUUCUGACACUGAAGCAUCUGAACAUGCAGUGAGAUGCGCAGAAAAAUAACUGCUAAAUAAGCAGAAAAUCAAAUCAAAAUACAAAAUCGCUAAUCAAAGAGAGGUCAUAUACCAGUCCCAAAAAACACAAUUAAUAGCAGCUAAAAACACUAUAUAAUCACACCACAUCAAUAUGAAUAAGAGAAGCAAGAAAAAUCACUGAAUAGCCAAAAUCAAAGCAUAUCACAGAUGCAGUUAAAAAAUGCUUUGAUAAGUCAAGAAACAGAAGCAAAGUAGUACAAAAGCAAAACUAACGGUUAUAUUAAAAAGAGAUGUGCACCAUUGUUGUUAAUUUCUGGUGCUUUUCUUUGUGAUCUUAUUAUAGAAGCCACGGAAACAAACAAAAACGAAUUGUAGAAGAAGGAAGGAGUUUUCCGUGUCGAGAUUGUUUAUAUGAAUUUUUUCCCACGAACCCUAACUCUUAUUAGGUUAGAGAUGUAAACGGGCAAGGAACCCACAUAAUUGAAGGUGCCCAAACCCACAUAAAAUAUAUACUACCAAACUCGUCUCAAACCCAAAUCACUUACUUCUUGUUACCCAAACCCAUUUGAUUUUUAUAUUUAAAUGGGUUGGUACCUGCUGAACCUGAGUCCAGAAAGUUGGGAAAGAAAUUUUUAAAUUACAAUUAGAAACUAUCUUCUAAAAAUCUAAGACUUACAAUUAGAAACUAUCUUCUAAAAAUCUAAGAC
rnacentral:misc_RNA from 1 species